CAGCCGUAAACAAUGUGCGUUAGGUAUGUCGGUGACCACGUGUUACUGAUGUGCCGAAGAGAAAUCGUGAAACGCACCACCUGGGAAGUACGGUCGCAAGGCUGAAACUUAAAGGAAUUGGCGGGGGAGCACCGCAACGGGAGGAGCGUGCGGUUUAAUUGGAUUCAACGCCGAAAAACUCACCAGCAGCGACUGUUACAUGAAAGUCAGGUUGAUGACCUUACUAGAUUUUCAGAGAGGAGGUGCAUGGCGUAGUCGUGU
rnacentral:rRNA from 1 species